AAAAAAAAAUAAGGAAAAAAUAUAUGCACAAUAUACAAAUGGGAAUUUAAAGAGCAGCUCGCUAACAACAAUCUCGUUACACAUGUGAGAAAACAGUUGACGUCAUUAUUACUUGUAAUAUAUAUCGCGUAUAUGAUAUACCUCGUUAAUACCGGAAGUAGAGGUCAUUGAUUCUUUAACAUUUUAGAUCUUGUGAUCAGUAACGACAAGUAAGAAAGUCAUGGAAACUCAUGGAGCGAGUAGGCAGCUAUUAAACGGGAAGAAAGGAUAAAUUAAAUAAUAGGCAGGCCACGAACGUGUACGUUUCGACUCAUCAGCCGUAAAUUGAUCCAGAUACCUCAAAUUUUGUCAUCUUCCUACACGGAUCGACUCAAUUGCACAUUAGGAACACAUGUGCAUUCCGCGAUGAUUAAUUAGGAUCGCCGCUGGUGGAAUUUCUGAUAACAUUAUUAUCAAUAACGUAACAUGAAACUGUCCCACUUUUUUUCUUUCUCUCAAAUCAUCAUGAAACGUAACGAGAUAGUUCUUCUUCUUCUUUUUUUUUUUUUUUUUUAAGAAAAAUAUUCGGUAUCAUUUUAAAAAUUUGAUUUAUGAAACAUGAAACACUGGUGGAAUUUCUAAUAACGUUCUUAUCAAGCGACAUAAAAUGAAACUGUAACGAGAGAUAAUUUUUUUUUUAAAGAGAAACAGAAAAUAUAUAUAUAUAUUGUAAUAAUGUAUUCGUUAAUAAGCUUGAUUUAAUAGAUCUUUUUAUAUCCAUUAUUUAUUGCUAUAUAUUGGAACACUGCUUGAAUUGUUGAUUUACUCUUCUCUUUAAAUUGAGAUCUGUCACUUCUUGAAUGAAUUCUUUCAUUUCAUUCUCACGGCAUUGUUUCGCAGGAUAAAGCGAUUCUUAGAGCUAGCGAGUAUCGAAUUCGAUAUUCCUAGGGCGACGAAAGAGGUCGGAAUCGGAGAUGCCGAUGGGUUGGAAGAAUAACGUCCGAGCACGUUGACACAUUGACGACGAUAAAAUUCCACACCGAAGACUUUUUUCGUAGAACAUGUGCGCCGCAUAAAAAAGUAACGUUGCAAGUUCAAGAGAAACAUAUCGCAGAAAAUACUGAUGACACAUUGUGAUAUAUAUAUAUAUAUCUAACAAUAUUAUAAAUUCUUGUAACAAGAUUUCAUCAAAUAUCGUUAUCCUUGACAAGGAUUUUAAAUAAACAAUGGUUAUUGUUAAUUAGAAUUAAAUUUGAUACUUGAGAAUU
rnacentral:lncRNA from 1 species